GGUGUAACCAACCUGCUAUUAAGGAUAUGGCAUAAAGAAAUAAUAGAAAAAGAGUUCCAGUAUAAAGAUCUUUAUUAGUGCGUAAACUGAUUGUAUACCACCAGAGAUAAAUACCAGAAUAAGCGAUAUUCACUAGGCCAAGAGCACCCCCUCGAGUAAAAGCUUCCACGGCCGGUUGACCAAAAUGAGGAUCCCAAAUUGCAUGAGCAAUAGGUCUUACAUGUAAAGGUAAAAGCUUCCACGGCCGGUUGACCAAAAUGAGGAUCCCAAAUUGGAUAAAAAUAGGUCUUACAUGUAAAGGGUCCUGUACCCACGACUCAAAAUUUCCUUGCCAAGCUACAUGAAAUAGAUAUUUGGAAGUCCACAGAAAAAUCAUU
rnacentral:lncRNA from 1 species